UGGGGAAUAUUGGACAAUGGGCGCAAGCCUGAUCCAGCAAUUCCGCGUGGGUGAAGAAGGUCUUCGGAUUGUAAAGCCCUUUCGACGGGGACGAUGAUGACGGUACCCGUAGAAGAAGCCCCGGCUAACUUCGUGCCAGCAGCCGCGGUAAUACGAAGGGGGCUAGCGUUGCUCGGAAUUACUGGGCGUAAAGGGCGCGUAGGCGGCGAUGUUAGUCAGGCGUGAAAGCCCUGGGCUCAACCUGGGGACUGCGCUUGAUACGGCAUGGCUAGAGGAUGGAAGAGGGUCGCGGAAUUCCCAGUGUAGAGGUGAAAUUCGUAGAUAUUGGGAAGAACACCGGUGGCGAAGGCGGCGACCUGGUCCAUUACUGACGCUGAGGCGCGACAGCGUGGGGAGCAAACA
rnacentral:rRNA from 1 species